rnacentral:rRNA from 1 species
AGUGAACGCUGGCGGUAGGCCUAACACAUGCAAGUCGAGCGGCAGCACAGUAAGAGCUUGCUCUUACGGGUGGCGAGUGGCGGACGGGUGAGGAAUACAUCGGAAUCUACUUUUUCGUGGGGGAUAACGUGGGGAAACUUACGCUAAUACCGCAUACGACCUACGGGUGAAAGCAGGGGAUCUUCGGACCUUGCGCGAUUGAAUGAGCCGAUGUCGGAUUAGCUAGUUGGCGGGGUAAAGGCCCACCAAGGCGACGAUCCGUAGCUGGUCUGAGAGGAUGAUCAGCCACACUGGAACUGAGACACGGUCCAGACUCCUACGGGAGGCAGCAGUGGGGAAUAUUGGACAAUGGGCGCAAGCCUGAUCCAGCCAUACCGCGUGGGUGAAGAAGGCCUUCGGGUUGUAAAGCCCUUUUGUUGGGAAAGAAAAGCAGCAGGUUAAUACCCCGCUGUUCUGACGGUACCCAAAGAAUAAGCACCGGCUAACUUCGUG